rnacentral:rRNA from 1 species
GAUGAACGCUGGCGGCGUGCCUAAUACAUGCAAGUCGAGCGAACGGACGAGAAGCUUGCUUCUCUGAUGUUAGCGGCGGACGGGUGAGUAACACGUGGAUAACCUACCUAUAAGACUGGGAUAACUUCGGGAAACCGGAGCUAAUACCGGAUAAUAUUUUGAACCGCAUGGUUCAAAAGUGAAAGACGGUCUUGCUGUCACUUAUAGAUGGAUCCGCGCUGCAUUAGCUAGUUGGUAAGGUAACGGCUUACCAAGGCAACGAUGCAUAGCCGACCUGAGAGGGUGAUCGGCCACACUGGAACUGAGACACGGUCCAGACUCCUACGGGAGGCAGCAGUAGGGAAUCUUCCGCAAUGGGCGAAAGCCUGACGGAGCAACGCCGCGUGAGUGAUGAAGGUCUUCGGAUCGUAAAACUCUGUUAUUAGGGAAGAACAUAUGUGUAAGUAACUGUGCACAUCUUGACGGUACCUAAUCAGAAAGCCACGGCUAACUACGUGCCAGCAGCCGCGGUAAUACGUAGGUGGCAAGCGUUAUCCGGAAUUUAUGGGCGUAAAGCGCGCGUAGCGGUUUUUUAAGUCUGAUGUGAAAGCCCACGGCUCAACCGUGGAGGGUCAUUGGAAACUGGAAAACUUGAGUGCAGAAGAGGAAAGUGGAAUUCCAUGUGUAGCGGUGAAAUGCGCAGAGAUAUGGAGGAACACCAGUGGCGAAGGCGACUUUCUGGUCUGUAACUGACGCUGAUGUGCGAAAGCGUGGGGAUCAAACAGGAUUAGAUACCCUGGUAGUCCACGCCGUAAACGAUGAGUGCUAAGUGUUAGGGGGUUUCCGCCCCUUAGUGCUGCAGCUAACGCAUUAAGCACUCCGCCUGGGGAGUACGACCGCAAGGUUGAAACUCAAAGGAAUUGACGGGGACCCGCACAAGCGGUGGAGCAUGUGGUUUAAUUCGAAGCAACGCGAAGAACCUUACCAAAUCUUGACAUCCUUUGACAACUCUAGAGAUAGAGCCUUCCCCUUCGGGGGACAAAGUGACAGGUGGUGCAUGGUUGUCGUCAGCUCGUGUCGUGAGAUGUUGGGUUAAGUCCCGCAACGAGCGCAACCCUUAAGCUUAGUUGCCAUCAUUAAGUUGGGCACUCUAAGUUGACUGCCGGUGACAAACCGGAGGAAGGUGGGGAUGACGUCAAAUCAUCAUGCCCCUUAUGAUUUGGGCUACACACGUGCUACAAUGGACAAUACAAAGGGCAGCGAAACCGCGAGGUCAAGCAAAUCCCAUAAAGUUGUUCUCAGUUCGGAUUGUAGUCUGCAACUCGACUACAUGAAGCUGGAAUCGCUAGUAAUCGUAGAUCAGCAUGCUACGGUGAAUACGUUCCCGGGUCU